rnacentral:lncRNA from 1 species
UUGUAUGUUAUGCUCACAAUCUUUAAAAUGGGAACUGAUGUAAAAUUCUUAGCUAAAGUCUGAAAUUUGCAGGUUGAUAGAUUGGGAAGUUGUUGGUUUGUGUGAUUUUAUUAAAUGUAGUGGGGACCUUCAAUUGGGGUCACAAUUUUGGCAUCUUGUUCAUAAAUAUUUUAAGUUUGGAUCAUCUUCUCUCUACCUCUUUUUCUUUUAUCUUUCUUUUCCAUCAUUGUAAGCUUUGGUAUUCUUGGAUCUUGAUCUUACUCACUUUUUUACCCAAUAAAACUCACACCAAAUCAACGCAAUUGGCUUUCAUGGAGAUCAUGUUCCCAAUUGGUGUAAUUAUGUAAUUAUUGCUUGCAUUUUUUAACCACAAUAUCCCCCU